CAAUAGCGUAUAUUAAAGCUGUUGCGGUUAAAAAGUUCGUAGUUGGAUUUCUGCCACGGACGACCGGUCCGCCCUCUGGGUGAGUAUCUGGCUUGGCCUGGGCAUCUUCUUGGAGAACGUUGCUGCACUUCACUGUGUGGCGCGGUACCCAGGACCUUUACUUUGAGGAAAUUAGAGUGUUUCAAGCAGGCUUUCGCCUUGAAUACAUUAGCAUGGAAUAAUAAGAUAGGACCUCGGUUCUAUUUUGUUGGUUUCUAGAGCUGGGGUAAUGAUUAAUAGGGAUAGUUGGGGGCAUUCGUAUUUAACUGUCAGAGGCGAAAUUCUUGGAUUUGUUAAAGACGGACUACUGCGAAAGCAUUUGCCAAGGAUGUUUUCAUUGA
rnacentral:rRNA from 1 species